AAGUCGUAACAAGGUUUCCGUAGGGGAACCUGCGGAAGGAUCAUUAUUGAAGUGUUAAAGCUCUUAUGAGCUAUAACAUAAGUCAACAAGUCGAAGUGUCGCAUGUAACUUGUUGCAAGCUCACACUUAGUUUAUACUGACUUGGUGGUCUUUUUUUGACUACCGUAAGCGACACUAAAGUCAGGUAAGCUAUUACUGAUAUAUACCUGUAAGGGGAUUUUAUAUCAUCCAAAGCGGUAUUCAGUAAACCCAGUACUUGUAAGGAGGUUCACACAUUUACCUGGACCAUCCAUAGCAGUACUUAGCCUUUGCGCUAUUUUUUUUUCUUUGUGCCUAUUAAGUAAACAAAUAAAAUAUACCACUGCAAGCGGUGGAUCACUCGGCUC
rnacentral:misc_RNA from 1 species